GGAACAGAGCUCCUCCCUUGCUUCCUGUUUAUCCAGUCCCUCUGCCCCUUGAACGUCGCCUAACUUCCUUCAUCGGACAUAAAAGACCGGCGAUUAUGAGAUUCCCAUUAAAGGAAGCAGCUUUUGUCAGUCGAGGUUUAUGACCAAGGCAGCUCUUCAGAUGGCAGGCCGAGUUACUAGAUCAAGAAGACUACCACCUCAGCAGCAGGAACAACAGUCAAGGGCUAGGUGGACGACAUCUCUCACUAAGAUACUUUUAGACCUGAUGGUUGACCAAGUACAUAAAGGGAAUAAACAGAGCAAUUCUUUUAACAAGAAGGCAUGGAAACAUAUCUGUGAUGAAUUUUACAACAAGACAGGUCUGAAAUGGGAUAAGGAACAACUCAAAAAUCGAUAUUCAGUUUUGAGGAAGCAGUAUACGACUGUGAAGUCUAUUCUCGAACUCAGUGAUUUUAAUUGGGAUGAAGCCACAGGAUCUAUUAUUGCCAAGGAGGAAGUUUGGGCUGAAUACAUCAGGCAACAUCCUGAUGCCGAGACAGUAAAAGGCAGCGGCUGCUCAAUCUAUAAGGACCUAUGCACAAUAUUUUCUGAGCCAGCAACCAACGGCAGGCAUGAAUCUGUGGCUGCAUCUGAGGGUGAUGGCACUUCUAGGCCUUGUCCAGAGCCGACGAGCACGCAGCAAGAGGAGUCCACAUCGGGAUCUGAUGAUGAUGAAGAUGAUAAUGAUCCUGAAGUGAUUCUACCUUUUACACCCACGGCAGGUUGUAACCGCAAAAGAGGACGUAAAGGAAUCGAUGAUGCCAUAGCAAGAGCCAUACUGGGGAUGGCAGCUGCUUCAAAACUGAGAGCAGCUGCCAUAGAGCAAUAUAAUGCCAGAUAUAGCAUGGCCGACUGUAUUAAGGAAUUAGAUGUGAUGGAAGGUGUUGAUCAGCCACUGUAUUUUGCUGCUCUAAAUCUGUUCAAUAAACCCCACGCGAGGGAGAUUUUCUUGUGUCUCAAAAGUGAUAGACGUGUAACUUGGUUGCGUGGCAAGUGUGCCGUUGCAUCCAGUAGUAGCAUGGCUUGAAAGAAUUGCCUCCUUCGCUCACGCUCAAUUUUUUAAAACUGUCAGAUUAUUGCAUUUACUAGUUGACUAGUUGAUGAUGUUAUAUCACAAUGGUUUCAUUGCUGACAAUUUGGUCCAGAAAAUGGGGCAUUAUUUCCUCUGUUCCUUGUUGAAUCGAAGGAGGGUUGUCUUGUUUAGAGAAGUAAAUAGAUGUGCCAUCAUUUCUUGCAUAUUGAGCGAUACUCUCAUGUUUCCACUCCCUCUAUAGGGUUGAGGACCUGUUAGGGUUCUUUGAAACCAUUAGGGUUUCUCACUCCUUUGGGAGUCUCUCCAGUAGGGAGAGCCUCCUCUGCUCUUGGUGGUGGCGAGCUUCGAAACUCUUCUUCACUGCGACAAUUGAGGGGUCAUGUGGAAGAAGGUGUGUGUGGGUUGGGUGUGUGGAUGUGUCGAACCAUGGAGGUGGAUUUGGGGGUGAUGGAGGGUUCAGUGACUUCAGCAUCAAUGGCGGCGUUGGUGAGGUUGGUUCUGUGGUCCUUCUCCUAGAGAUAAUUGAAGCUCUGAAGAUUGUGCAAUUGAAGAUUGGAAUGAAGAAGAUGAAGAAUCUGAUACGGCCAAAAUCUGAGGUUAGGGAAUAGCAAGAACAGGAUCGAUUGGCAGCCAUGGUGAUUUGCCUCCAGAUUGGUUUUCUUGUUUAAAUAAGCGGUGCAAAUGAUCUGCGAUGGCCCCUGGUGCAAUGAUGGGGAUGAAUGCCAAAUUUGUGUUGUCGAUGAUGUGUUUAGUGGCUAUGACAAUGAGGUCGAUGAGAGUUCCUAAGAUGCAGGAUUGUCAAGAUAAGUUUACUCUUGUUCUUGGUUCUCCCUUGUGCUGUGAUUUUGCUUGUCUAAUUUCACCUUUUGUUUGCAAAGUUGUUGAUGAUUUGAGAUGGGUUCCUCUUGGAUAUUGGCAAUUCUUUUACAAUAUUGUGGAUCGUUUUGGGUUGUAUUUGUUUAGAAUUGGAACAGUCAGUCUGGGGCACAGUCUCUUUUGCCCAGGAUAUUCUGGAUGCAACCAUGAUAGCAGGUGUUUGGAUGCUGCAAAUGAGAGGUUGCAAUUAAUUCUUGAUGUCUUGAGCAACUCUUUUGGGGCUUUUGGUAGAGUUUCAGUUUGUUUCCCAUUAGUUGAGGUGCUUGAUGAGAGAUGUAUAUGAUUAGUCUAUUCAACCUUUGUGGAUUUCUUUGUGAAUCUUGUUGUGUGGCCAUGUAUUGAGGGAAAAAAAGUAUGGCUGUCUUUCUGAAGUGUUGUUGCUGUCGGGAUCCUCCUUGAAAGCCAGUAGAACUGAAGAAGAGGCAAAAAGGCCUUCACACAAAGUUCCUGUUUGGUCGUCUUCCAUAUCUGAGCCGUCACCCUGCUUCCAUUUCUAAUAAAAAAAAGAAGACCUGCCCAUCCGGUGAAUAACAUGGUCCUUAUAAGUGGAUCAAUUCCCGUCAUCCUAAGGUUGGGCCCUUUUUUUAAGACAAGGCCUAGGUAAAACUCUGCCAAAAGGACAAAAAAAAAAAAGCAAUUACGAUAUCCAAGUCCCUUGGAAAUGUCUAUUUUGUUUUUGUUUUGUAACUAUGAAAGGAUACUUUCAGUCAAAACGAACGUAAACCAGAGUACAGAACGUCUACAUGCAAGGAAAUUUUCAUUUGAGUCCCAAAAUGUGCUUAAAACUUUAUUCCAUUUGGGUCAAGCUUCUUCAAACCCAUAUAACAGUAGGAUUGAGCUUGUAAAUAAGGAACUAAAAUGAUAAAUUGAGUUUAAAUGGGUCAACUCUUAAGGGCAAGGGUCAGUUUAUUUAA